UAUUAAACAUUUACUAUGUUUAUAUUAUUUUGAGAUAUUUAUAAAAAUCAAUUUAUUGUUGAUGUAUUUGUUAAAGAAAUAAUUGUUUUGGUUUUAUUUUAUUAGUACUGUGAAGGAAAAUUUAGAAAUAAGGUUUAAAAUAUUUUAUAAGUAGAAUUAUUAUUUUGUGCCUUGUGUAUCAGGAUUUAUUAAUAAAAUUUCAUUAAUUUUGAUUUUCUCGAUUUUUUUAGAGUUAAUAAUUUAUAUUAAUUAUUGUUGAAAAAAUAUUUAUAAUAAUUUAUUGGUAGUGAAAUGUUAAUCGUUAAUAAAGAUAUCUAGUUCUUUAGGAAAUAAAUUUAAUUUAGGUUCUUUCUUUAAAAAUUUAUUUGUAAAUUGUGUUUUAGGGAGUAUUAAUAGUAAUAGGGAUAAGCUUAUUAUUAAAUAUUUAUGGAAAAUAAGUUGAUAAAGUAAUAUAAAUUUAGAAAUGAUUAUUAUUAAAAAUAUGUUAAAAUUUUACUUUUAUAUUUAUGAAUUUUUUUUUUUCUUAAUUAUUUACUAAAGUUUUUUAAUUAAUAAUUUAUUGAUUAAAAUUAUGAUAAAAUUAGUAUAUAUAUAUAUAUUAUUUAAUAAAUUUUAUUAUUUAUAAUUUUGGGGAAUUAGGCAAUAAAAGGAAGUAUAAUUAAGGUUAUCCGCCUGUUUAACAAAAACAUCUCUUCUUGGUUACUUAAGAAGUAUAACCUGCCCAAUGAAUAAUAUUUAAUGGCCGCGGUAUAUUGACCGUGCAAAGGUAGCAUAAUAAUUAGUCUUUUAAUUGAAGGCUGGAAUGAAUGGUUAGACGAGAUAACAACUAUCUUAAUUUUAUUAAAUUGAAUUUAAUCUUUAAGUUAAAAAGCUUAAAUUUUUUUUUGGGACGAGAAGACCCUAUAGAGUUUAUAUAUUAUAAAUUGUUCUAAUGAAUUUGUUAUUAAUUAUUUUAUUUAUAUUAUUGUGUUGGGGUGACAGAAAGAUAAUAGUAACUCUUAUUAAUUAAUUUUUAUAAAUGUAUAUAGUAUUUGAUCCACAAUUAGUGAUUAUAAGACUAAAUUACCUUAGGGAUAACAGCGUAAUCUUUUUUAAGAGUUCAUAUCGACAAUAAGGGUUGCGACCUCGAUGUUGGAUUAAGAAUAUAUUUAGGUGUAGAAGCUUAAAAAUUAGGUCUGUUCGACCUUUAAAAUCUUACAUGAUCUGAGUUCAGACCGGCGUAAGCCAGGUUGGUUUCUAUCUAAUAAUAAUUAAGAUAUUUUAGUACGAAAGGACCAAAUAUUUAAAAUAAUUUUUUAUUUAUAUUGAUUAUUAAUA
rnacentral:rRNA from 1 species